rnacentral:rRNA from 1 species
AAUUCGCCCUUGAGCACGUAGGUGGGUUUGUAAGUCAGGUGUGAAAGCCUUCUGUUCAACGGGAGAAUUGCAUCUGAAACUACGAAUCUUGAGUGUAGGAGGGGAGAAUGGAACUUCUGGUGGAGCGGUGAAAUGCGUAGAUAUCAGAAGGAACGCCGGCGGCGAAAGCGAUUCUCUGGCCUAUUACUGACACUCAGUGUGCGAAAGCUAGGGGAGCAAACGGGAUUAGAUACCCCGGUAGUCCUAGCCGUAAACGAUGGGCACUAAGUAGAGGGGAUUACCGACGUUCUCUCUGCCGUAGCUAACGCAUUAAGUGCCCCGCCUGGGGAGUACGGCCGCAAGGCUAAAACUCAAAAGAAUUGACGGGGGCUCGCACAAGCGGUGGAGCAUGUGGCUUAAUUCGAUGCAACGCGAAGAACCUUACCGGGGCUUGACAUGGUAGAAGUAGGAACCCGAAAGGGUAACGAACGGUAUCCAGUCCGUAGCUAUCACAGGUGUUGCAUGGCUGUCGUCAGCUCGUGUCGUGAGACGUUGGGUUAAGUCCCCUAACGAGCGAAACCCUUGUUUUUAGUUACCAGCGGGUUGUGCCGGGUACUCUAGAAAGACUGCCGUCGUCAAGACGGAGGAAGGUGGGGAUGACGUCAAGUCAUCAUGGCCCUUAUGCCCCGGGCUGCACACGUGCUACAAUGGUCGGUACAAACGGAAGCGAAGCCGAGAGGUGAAGCGAAUCCAAGGGCGAAUU